rnacentral:misc_RNA from 1 species
GAUGAAGAACGUAGCAAAAUGCGAUAAGUAAUGUGAAUUGCAGAAUUCAGUGAAUCAUCGAAUCUUUGAACGCACAUUGCGCCCGCUGGUAUUCCGGCGGGCAUGCCUGUUCGAGCGUCAUUUCAACCCUCAAGCCCCCGGGUUUGGUGUUGGGGAUCGGCUCUGCCCUUCUGGGCGGUGCCGCCCCCGAAAUACAUUGGCGGUCUCGCUGCAGCCUCCAUUGCGUAGUAGCUAACACCUCGCAACUGGAACGCGGCGCGGCGAUGCCGUAAAACCCCAACUUCUGAAUGUUGACCUCGGAUCAGGUAGGAAUACCCGCUGAACUUAAGCAUAUCAAUAAGCGGAGGA